CCUGAGAAACCCAAAAGAUCGAAUGGGGAGAUUCAUCGUCAGCGGCUUUGGCUUCCGUGCGGUGCGCGAUGGCGGGGACCUCGGUCUCGCGUCACGCCGCCGCUGCGGCAUGUCCGGAGUCGUCGGCGUGCACUUCUCCCCUAGUAGGACGUCGCGACCCGUUGGGUGUCGGAUCGAUGGCCGUACGGUCGUCUGUUGGGCGCUCGCGCGCCCUUCAGACCGUUUCGGUCGAAAGUCCGGCUGCCCGGCGGUAUUGAACGAUAUGAACUGGUAUCGGGCCGCAUCGAAUGCGUUCAGGCUCGUCGGCAGGCUCGUCUCGCUCGGAUUUACGGACCUAGCGCCGUUGCCGGGCGCUUGGCGCGGCUGUUAGUCGACGAUGUCCUCGGACUGGCUCUUACCCGUCGGCGACGCUACUGCUUUGGGUACUUUC
rnacentral:rRNA from 2 species